rnacentral:rRNA from 1 species
AACGUAGGACGCAAGCGUUAUCCGGAGUUACUGGGCGUAAAGCGCGGGAAGGCGGCACGCCAAGUCUGAGGUGAAAGCGCCCGGCUCAACCGGGCGAGGCCCUUGGAAACUGGCGGGCUGGAAGGCGAGAGAGGUAGGCGGAAUUCCGGGUGGAGUGGUGAAAUGCGUAGAGAUCCGGAGGAACACCAGAGGCGAAGGCGGCCUACUGGCUCGCCCUUGACGCUGCACCGCGAAAGCCAGGGGAGCGAACGGG